GAUGAACGCUGGCGGCGUGCCUAAUACAUGCAAGUCGAGCGAAUGGAUUAAGAGCUUGCUCUUAUGAAGUUAGCGGCGGACGGGUGAGUAACACGUGGGUAACCUGCCCAUAAGACUGGGAUAACUCCGGGAAACCGGGGCUAAUACCGGAUAACAUUUUGAACCGCAUGGUUCGAAAUUGAAAGGCGGCUUCGGCUGUCACUUAUGGAUGGACCCGCGUCGCAUUAGCUAGUUGGUGAGGUAACGGCUCACCAAGGCAACGAUGCGUAGCCGACCGGAGAGGGUGAUAGGCCACACUGGGACUGGAACACGGCCCAGACUCCUACGGGAGGCAGCAGUAGGGAAUCUUCCGCAAUGGACGAAAGUCUGACGGAGCAACGCCGCGUGAGUGAUGAAGGCUUUCGGGUCGUAAAACUCUGUUGUUAGGGAAGAACAAGUGCUAGUUGAAUAAGCUGACACCUUGACGGUACCUAACCAGAAAGCCACGGCUAACUACGUGCCAGCAGCCGCAGUAA
rnacentral:rRNA from 1 species